rnacentral:rRNA from 1 species
GAACUAUAGAGUUUGAUCCUGGCUCAGAUUGAACGCUGGCGGCAUGCCUUACACAUGCAAGUCGAACGGCAGCACGGGAGCAAUCCUGGUGGCGAGUGGCGAACGGGUGAGUAAUAUAUCGGAACGUGCCCAGUCGUGGGGGAUAAC